AUCCCACAGCUUUCACUGACCCAGCAGCAGAUGGCACCACAGGCUCAGAGUACAGCAGUUCUUGAGCUGCUCAGCCAUGUGUUGGGAGUUGGACAGUGACAUGGCUGGCUAACGUUACUCAAGAGCAACCGGCAGGCAGUAUUUUGGGUGAGGAGGAUGGAGAGAGAACUCUGGAGGAGAACAAGCUGAGAUCUGAGACUCCUGCCGAGCACGAGCCCGUAUCUGCAUCAAGUCAGAUUGCUUCCUCAAUGGGCAUCAACCCUCAUACCUUACAGAUUAUGAAGGUCUCUCUUUGCAGAGGAUGAUGAAUGUGAUUUGUUUCAAGAGCAUAGUUCUUCAAAGCUCAUACAGGAUGUUGUUUCCCCUAAAGUUUUG